GAGAGAGAGAGAGAGAGAGAGAAAGAGAGAGAGAGAGAGAGAGAGAGAGAGAGAGAGAGAGAGACGACGGUGCGGCAGAGCUGCGUCAGCGCUGCGGAGGAGGGAGCAGCUGGCAUCGCCCGGCAGGGCCGCCGCAGAGGACAAGGGGGUGCCAGUCAGCCUAAGGUGAAGCCAGGCCUCGCCUCUCGCCGUCUUGGACGUGGAUCUCCGCUCGGCCACGGCUUUUCGGAGCCACACAGCGCAGGCAGCUCGGAUGAAACAUCAGAAUAAACAGCAGGAGGGCAAAGAGCAAGAGUCGUGGACCUUCCUCCAGCCCAGCCCAGCCCGGAGCCCGAGCAAGCAGCAGAGGAAGAUGCUGAUGUCGCUGCCCACGCUUACGGUCCUAGUGCCCCUCAUCUCUCUGGCCGGCCUGAUCUACUCGGCCUCUGUAGAUGAGAACUUCCCCCACGGCUGCACCAGCACGACCAGUCUGUGCUUUUAUAGUCUUCUCUUGCCCAUCAUCCUGCCAGUGUGCGUGAUCCUAUACCUCUGGACCUGGACCCAGAACUAACGCACUCAGGGCCCCCGCCCCCCUCCCAAGAGUAGGGCCUGUUGUCCACAUUUAAACAAGAAAACGACCUCUUUCAUUCCACUUAAUUUUUAAUACACUGGAAUGGUCUCGUUUUCAUUCUCAUGGGGAACUAGGCUUUUCAUCCCUCUCUCAGUCAGAAAUAAGGAUUGCACCGAGGAGCUCAUUUUCAUCCUGCCUUCUUGUUCCAGAGCUGGGGGUGGGGGUGGGGAGAGGGGUCCCUACUUAUUAUUUUCCUUAAAAUAUUCUCCUGUAUCUUGAUCUGUGGAAGUGCUUGGUUUUUAAUUCUGAUAAUACUCAACUCAAAGUUAAAUACAUCACCCAAAAGGUUUUGGGUUUCUUUUUAUUUUUUAAUUUUCUUUACUAGGUUAAAGGCCUUUGUAAUGGAAGGAAAUGACAAAGAUUAAUCUUUUUGAAGAUGCUAUGCCAAAUAAUUUACUCGUUUAAAUAGUUUCAGAUAAAUUCAUUUUAACUAGUAUUCACACAAAAGCUUACAAUAAACUGGAAAUGGAUGUGUACAGGAAAAAAAAAACAGAGGGCAGAGGGGAAUUAGAGGUGACCUACACUGAAACAAUGCAGACAUGAAAUUCAAUUAAAACAGUAUGCUCCUAAAAGUAGAAACAUUCCAAAUUCGCCUCAAUGUUGAUUUCCAAAGAGCAGGAAUAUCGAACUUGUCAUUUUUCACCAUAUACUAAAAGAUUUGCCAGAGAUUAGAAUCUCCAGUAUGAACCCUAAGAAAAGUCCAGGGCUUGGGAAAGCAUUGUAGAAAGUUAUCAUUGAGAUAAGAGAAUGGGAAGACAGACAGACCUGUCAAGCUGUGCACUUCCCUUGGAGACCCGCUGAUUCCUUCCCUAGGAAGUUAGGGUUUAGAUUUCUCAUCAUUUCUGAGCUUGAUGUCAAAGAUUCUGGGUUUCCUGUGGACAUCAAAAGUAGCUGGAAUCAUGUUUUGAGCUUUAAAAUUGAGCUAUUUGCAAUACAUAUUUGUAUUUGAUUUAAUAAAUUAAUUAGGGGAAAUUGUUAUUUCUAGCAUUGCUGAUCUAGGCUCUGAAUAGCAAUGAUUGGUGCCAUAGCUUUUAGUUCAUUCUGAGUUAAAGUAAGAAGGACUCAGAGCUGGUCUCUGAAUGCCAGCCAUAGAGAAGGUAAAAUUGAUAGAGUACUGUAACAGUCAUUUGGAGAAGCAUUCAACUGGAUUAAUGCUCUUUGGCAAUAAGUUUUGUUUUGUGUUUUAUGCUCUGAGUCCACAAUAUUGUUUUAUGUUAGUGUUAUGUGGAUGCAUUUCUUGCAUUGUGAUUGGGGAAAAUCAUUAUGUAGAAGCACCAUUAGUUUGUGGGAUGAUACCCAGAGUGUGAUGCAUUUGUAUCCUUAGGAGGUUUGUUCCUCUUUUGAUCAUAAUGCUGUGAUUUUGUGAGCUAUCACUUAUUAGCAACUCCUGUCUGGAAGGCAGCAUAUUCUUCUGGUUAAAAAUGGUCUUAAAUGUAUCCUCAGUCAUCAAAAUUAACUUGCUAUCUUGGGAAGACUCAUUGUGAGAAGUUCCAUCAACUUGCCAGCCCCUCUGAAUCUUCUACUUUGGUAAGGUCAUAAAAGCUCAUCAGCUCUGUGACCAAAGAGGAGGCAGGAAGGGUUGUACAAAUUCUGCCCUGAGACUAAGGCUUACAGAGGAGCCAACUCUCCCCCCACAACACAUACACCAGGCGUGCGCGCAUGCGUACACACACACACACACACACACACACACACACACAUACACUCACAGGCAAAAUUCGGGGGGGGGGGAUUCAACAUUGGUUUGUAAUAUGUGAAUUGUCUGAGUACUGAUUAUUAUGUAAUCUAUGGAAAUUCACUGGAUAAAAUUGUGAUUUAAUUAGUAUGCAUCGCUGUUACAUUUUUGAGGGUCUUUUUGGGUUUGAAUACAUUCACUUUAUUAGUAAAAUCCCCAAAUGUAAUUGUCAAGUGAAAUGCCAAGAGAUGCUUCAAAGAAACGUAGUCUCCAUGUGUUACAGGUGGAUGUAAGUUGCUGAGGAAGUUGAGGGACUGGCCUUAUAAAAGUCAUGGUGGGGGCUUCUUGACUCAGUUUUGACACUAUGCUCUUUUCUUUCUGAGCAGGGAAGUUUCCCAGUUGUUAGAAUGUGAACCUUGAUCAGACCCUUUGCAUAAAAGCAUAGAUUUUAGAGCGGGAUUGGCUGUUCCACAAAAGUAUUUUUGAUUUUUACCUGAAAUCAAACGAAGCUUAUCCUCUUACACACAUAUCAAUCGGUGACUUUAGACUGGAUUCUGAUAGGACAGUCUUGAUAUUGUUACCACCUUAUCCCUCCUUCUGCUUUCAUAGCAAAUUUCUCUGCCCGUGGCAGAACUUCAAAGAUUCUAUGAUGGCAGCUAGGUGGUGCAGUGGAUAAAGCACUGGCCUUGGAUUCAGGAGGACCUGAGUUCAAAUCUGACCUCAGACACUUGACAUUUACUAGCUGUGUGACCCUGGGCAAGUCACUUAACCUUCAUUGCCCCACAAAAAAAAAAAAAAAAGAUUCCAUGAUGAAUCUCAUUAUUCCAAUCAUCAGACUUCUCUGACCCUAAUGUUUGUUGUGCGGCUGUUCUGACUUUGUGGCCAUUACUGCUUUCACCUUCCUGACCUACACCAUUAGCUCACUGGUUUAAUAGUUGUAUAUAUGUAUAACAUUGUGAUUUUAGAAUCCCACUUUCUUUCUGUCCAAGUGACCCUUCCCUUUUCUAUGACCUGAAGCUAAGAUAUGAGGUUACAAUAUAUUCUUCAAAGGGUGAGAAAUGAUGAAAGACAUAUAAAGGCUAGAAUUCUUAUUGGAACAGUAAACAUUACCUUGAGAAAGGCAAUAAGAUUAGACUAUUUCCCCUGAGGACUCGGAUAUGUGAUUAUUGUGAGAAUCAGGGUGCCACCUCCUGCUGAGAAAGACAUUGUGAGAACCAGGGUGAUACCCCCCUGAAAAGAAAGCAUGUGACUAGCGUCUGGAAGCUGCCUGGUGUCUGGAAGUUACAUCUAUUCAUAGACUGCCUGUAAGUCAUGUCAAUCAAUGGACCAGCCAUUUAUCUUCGAGCUGUGUGUGGGGACCACCCUUCUUCUGGUCCACAGGAAGCUUCCACUGGAAUACACGGAGAAUCGGCCUUUUUCAUUUGGGAAAUGACAUGUGGCCGGAGAAGCAAGCAGGGUAGACAGAUCUCCUAACUUUAGAACUUCACGUGUUCUUUUUGGAAGUGUGGGUAGCUAGGUAAAGGCGGCUUUCUCUCUCUUGGCUAACCCCUAAUAUACUUUAAUAAAUGCUUAAAAGCCUAAAUUGUUGCCGAAUUUAUCAGUAAACUUAGCUAGUUCUACCUUCCACACUGGGGGGGGGGGGCGGCAGAAAUGACACAUUAGACCACACAUUAAAUUUUAAACAUCACAGUGGUUUUCAAUGUUUCCCAAUAGGUAUUAAAUAUACUAAAAGAACUCAUGUUAGCUGCAAUUAUAAUAGAAACUUUAGAACUUCUGCUCUGUUGUGCCAGUGAAAACAAUGGCAAAAGGCCAAGUAAAGACAGUGGUUCUAAAAUGAUAUAUUUUAGAUUUGACUCUGGAAGUAAUAAACACAAGACUGAAAAAGGUGGAACCAGACACUGAUUCUCCUUCAGAAGGCCCAUUUGAACAGCCAAAGAUGGAUUCCAAGAGCAUUGGAUGCGUUGAAUUGUCUGUAAAUUCUUGAGUUAGACUGAGGCCUUCUUUCCUAUGAAAAAUUGCUCUAGUAGUUGUUGAGUUGUCCACUUAUGGGUUUUCCUAUCUGGUAGGCAUGCUUUACAGAUCUGGUCCUCAAAGAUCCUUUUUAAAAUGUUUCCUCCAACUUUGGAAAACACUGUUGUUGAUAUCAUCUAAAGGUCUUGGGAAAGGUAGAAAGAGUAAAUGGUAUGUGAAAACUGAAACUUAGAUGAGUUGCAGGUACCCUGAUCUAUUAUUCUCCCUACAAACUUGAUGAUUACAUGGUUAACACCAUAAAGUUUGCACCGACUUUCACCUCAUGAGCUAAUUACAGGAAGGACAAUGUGAUUGGAUUUGGUCAGACCUUACUAAAUUGUAUUAAGUCUUAUCAUGAGCAGGUUGGAGCAGCAUUACCUAGAAAACCAUCAGGAAAGGCACUGCAUGAUUAAAUCCAGAAAAAUGAAUCUGCUGGAAGAAAUACGUCUACAAAGAGGCCCCAGAAACAAGGUAGAAAGUUCCAUACCAGGAGCUGUUUAACAAUUGAUACUGCAAUUGAAAAGUUCAUGGUGUUAAUUCGUAGAUAUAUGUCUCUUAGGGCCAAGCUGAACACUUUGUGGACAGUGGUCUAAGACAGACCCUUUUGACUCAGAAUUAGCAAGGGAAAAUGUUUUCCAGAAGCAGACUAUUUUACAAAGUAGACAGCUAAACCCAAGACUCCAGAGCAAGGAUUGUAUUGUCUAAAUGGGCAUUACUAUGCAUUCUGUGUUCCUUUUUGUCCUCCUGACUAUACAAUUAUGCUUACUGCCCUUUGACUCUUAGACUUUCCUUACCCUUUUAGAAGGGUACUUAGGCGCCAGAUUUAAGACAAAAACUGGAAGUUUAAACCCAGGUCCCCCUUGUUCCAGUUCCUCACACAAUUGCUAGUAACAAUGUUUUAGUCUCUAUAUGGGAGUACCUCAGGUCCCACAGAGAUGUAUACUACUCUUGAGAUCCAGUUCCCCCCUGUAAUUGUGAGUACUUUUACUUAAUUACUUCAGAAACUUUUGGAGGAAAGACUGGGUUUGUGGAAUUAUUCCAACCAUUCUUGCUUAGAGGUUUUGCUUAAGCUUCCUUCUUAUUCUUUUCAGAUUUAUAGCAGUAUGACUGAUUGCUUCGUAUUUCCUCCUUAGCCUUGAAGAGAACAUUUUGGAUUUUGGAACAUGUGUUCCUCAUAGAUUUUGGCUUCCUCACUGCCAUAGCCCUCUUUGGACUAAGAUCCCUCUUUGGCUGCACAAACAACUGAUUUCCUAUUUUAUAGAUAUAGACCUUGAGUAGUUCAGAUUUGAUGAAACUCCUGAGGAAGGAUCCCAGGGGAGAAUUGUGGAGAACAGACCUGAGCACACUUGGAUUUGGGGAAAUAUCUGAUCCCCAAAUUGAGUAACCCCCAAGACCAAGGAAAUAGAAUUGGGGCAUCUGCACUUUCCUCCCCCUCUUACUGGCUACAUUGAAGUGAACAAGAAGGAUCCCAUUUUAAAGUAGAAGCAUCUAAGAGACGUCCCACUUACCCAGAAUGCUCUGAUAAGACGAACCGCUGAGAAAAACAUUUUCCCACAAGAACAAACUUGACCUUUAGCAACUCUGGUGACCCCAAGGCUUGCAUAUGUUCCCUUCUGUUUCAGAGUGUCUAUGUCCUCUGAGCAAGCCUAAAAUGACAAACUCACUCUGUACCUUAGGAAAGAGAAGGUGCAACUGGCCCAAUUAGUCUCUUUUUCUUUUUUGAUACUGAACCUUACAGAUGUGAUAGUGAGUAAGAUUCUCUUUGGGUUCACAAGGAACCAAUGCUGGGAAUCAUCCAGGACAUGGUGGAGAAAGGAUUCCUGAUCAGAUCUCAGUUUAGUGAACUACCUAUGAGGUUUGUUCUGGGUAAUGGUUUCUAGAAAAGGCAGAAUAGACCUUUCUAAUGAGAAACUGACAUAUUUCUCAGCUUUUUUUCACCAAAAAUAGAAAACAAGUUUGUUCCAUCAUUACACUGACAAAGAUCCCUCAGGAUGGGGCCUGGACCUGUGAUUUGGUUGUCAUGAGGAAUUUGCAGGUGAGAUAACUCUAUGAGGCAACUUCCUAUUGUGGUGCCUUCAAGACCAGCUUUCUAAUCUGGCUCUCAGUCCAACAACCAACCUUGACUAUGUGCUAGGCCCUCUCCUUACAAUCAUGUUCAAAUGAGGGAGCUGUCAAGGGCUCAUAGAAGUAUGUGCAGCAUAGGGGGCAACUAGGUGGCAUAGUGGAUAAAGCACCGGCCCUGGAUUCAGGAGGCCCUGAGUUCAAAUCCUGCCUCAGACGCCUGACACUUACUAGCUGUGUGACCCUGGGCAAGUCACUUAACCCCAAUUGCCUCAUACAUACAAAAAAAAAGAAGUAUGUGCAGCAUAAAUAGAAAUAGACCAAGUCUAUGAGCCAAGAGUGACACUUUGAGCCCUGUGGGACUCCACUCUCAUUAAUCAUCAAUGCCCAAACCAUCUGAUUGUACUAUCUUCUAGCUCACAUCCAGCCAUCUUCUCCCUUUGUAUCCCAUGCCAAAGAUGGCCAUUUCUCACCUUCUGAAUCAAUGGCCAAAGGUGGAGAGGGAAGGCAGGAGGGAGCAUGCAUUAGGGAAGUUUGCUUAACACAAUGAUUAUGGGAGGGAAGAAGGAGAGUGGAGGAAAGACAAGGGUAGGAGUUUCUUGGUGAUCUAGAAUGUGAGUAUGGAGGCAGAAUCCAGAAUGAAACACAGAUCCUAUGGUGUCUAGAGAGGGACAAGAAAGUGGGUUAGAGUCUUCUUAAGCUUGGGAGGUGUCUUGGUCCCUGGGGAAUAAGGAUCAGGAGGUCAGGUCAGUCCUUCAAAAGAUCACAGGCCAGCACAGGGACCAGAGAAAGGAUAAGUUUGGCUGGGGAAGGGUCAGCAGAGUCUGGGGUCCUGGGCCCUGGGAACUGAACAGUGACCUGACAGGGGUGGGGGCUCAGGGUCCCACAUCAUCUAGGUCAAGUCGGACUGUGAUCUGCAGAAAGAUGACCACCAGGGGGCUUCUCCUGACAUGUCUACAAUGGACCUCGCUUUCUACCCUAAGACCCUGGGCUGGGCAGUGCCCCAGCCCAAGGUCCAGAGACGGAGAGAGGCCAGCUUGAGGAACAGGAUGGAAAUUAAUGACUGCUCCAGAGACUCUUGGAGACCCAGGGGAAACCCUUGGAAGAGAUAGGUAUUCAUCUAAGGACAGUGCCUUGCGAAGCCCCCAAAUCUGUCCCUGGGGUUCUGAUUCAAUUUCUCUCUUCUCCAGUGGAUCAGAGUGUCAAAUUAGUCCCAGCUGUGUCUCUGUCCAGACCCUUGGUACAUCAGCAGCCCUUCCAAAGGACACAUCCCCAGGGGAAGAGGGUUGGUGCUUGUCUUAGACUUGGUCAGCCGUGGGAAUUCAUUUCUAUUCUUGGCUCUCAGGGUAAGGGGUAGAGGGUCCUCAUUCAGUCCUCUUCCCCCUCUCAUCAAUGAGCGAUCCCCCUGACUAACAUGGGACCAACACCCUGAGGUGCUGGCCUUUUACUCACAGAACUUCAGCAUAACCAAGUUUCAGGAAGAGAUUCAGGUCUCCCAGAAGGGAUGGGGUCACCUUGCCCAGGUGGAAUGAGGCCCACCAGGCCUGGAGAGGAGCAGAGAUAUACCUGUCACAAAAAAUACCCAGGACUGAGACAAAAUGUUGCUGUGCUCUGUGGUGAGAACUAGGGGCAGAGUGCAGGGAGAGGGAGUCAAGGCCUCUGUUGUAACCAAGGGUCAUGGUGAUGUUCAAGUGACAGUCAUAUCUCCAGCCCUUUCUAUAGCCCACACAUUCAUCAGAAUCAUGAGAAACAGAGAGCUCAGUGGGAAGUGUGGCCGAUGCUGCUCCUGCUGCUGCCACCACUGCCGCCACUGCCACCACCACCACCCUUUGGGACUGCGGUUGCUGCUAUAGAGAAAGAGAGAACUUGGGAAGGGAGUAAGGAUCCCAAGAUGGACAUGUGCAGCCUUGGAGGUGAGGUGACUGGGAAUUUGAGAGUUCUGGGAAUCCUUCUGGUCAGAGCUGAAUGGUGGCAGAAGAGGAGUCCUUGGCCACUUUAUCAGUGGUCAUGGAGAAGACAACCACCAUCAAGAGGAGUGACAUGAGCCUGCCUCGUUUCAGCAGGGGACAUGCUUGGACAGCACACAGCGUGAAAUGCCCCGGCACCCUGACAGAUUGGAAGAGCCACUCCCUCCUAGUUUAGGCAAUCAAUAUGUUGAGGGUGCAGAGCACCCCAGAAGUUCUCUGGGGCACACCAAGGAAUCUUCUCCUGGAGAAACGAAACCAGAGGACAGAUACACCUAGAGAGAUAAGCAGAACCAGAUCUGGGACCUCCACCCUUUAUUCUGAUCUCCCUUACCCCUAGGGAGAUAAUUUUGGGCGUGGCUGCAGCCUCUGCAUCCUGAAGAGAGAGAUGGCUUGAGAGAUCCAUAGCCACCCCUCACCCAACUCCUCUAGCCACCACCAGUGGGGGAUGGUCCUCCCUCACUAAAGGAACUUUCCACAGGCAGAUGGUCCACCCCCAUCAGCCCCCUAUAAAAGUAGCUGCCAGUCUCCUGAUCGAGGAGAUUGGUAUCUCAGAGCCACAUACUUUGUUCCAUACCACAUGCUUUCCCUUCCCCACCUUCCCUUCCCUU